rnacentral:rRNA from 1 species
GGGUUCGAUUCCGGAGAGGGAGCCUGAGAAACGGCUACCACAUCCAAGGAAGGCAGCAGGCGCGCAAAUUACCCAAUCCCGACACGGGGAGGUAGUGACAAUAAAUAACAAUACGGGGCUCUUUCGGGUCUCGUAAUUGGAAUGAGUACAAUUUAAAUCCCUUAACGAGGAACAAUUGGAGGGCAAGUCUGGUGCCAGCAGCCGCGGUAAUUCCAGCUCCAAUAGCGUAUAUUAAAGUUGUUGCAGUUAAAAAGCUCGUAGUUGAAUUUCGGGAUUGACACAUCGGUCGUGCCUUAAGGGGUAUGAACUGGUUGUAGUCAAUUUCUCACCUUCUGGAGAACCGCGAUGCCCUUAAUUGGGUGUCACGGGGAACCAGGACCUUUACUUUGAAAAAAUUAGAGUGUUUAAAGCAGGCAUUUUGCUUGAAUACAUUAGCAUGGAAUAAUAAAAUAGGACGGCAUGAUUCUAUUUUGUUGGUUUCUAGGAUCACCGUAAUGAUUAAUAGGGAUAGUUGGGGGCAUUAGUAUUCAAUUGUCAGAGAUGAAAUUCUUGGAUUUAUUGAAGACUAACUACUGCGAAAGCAUUUGCCAAGGAUGUUUUCAUUAAUCAAGAACGAAAGUUAGGGGAUCGAAGACGAUCAGAUACCGUCGUAGUCUUAACCAUAAACUAUGCCGACUAGGAAUCAGACGAUGUUAAUUUUUU